rnacentral:rRNA from 1 species
AGCUAGACUCCUACGGGAGGCAGCAGUGAGGAAUAUUGGUCAAUGGGCGGAAGCCUGAACCAACCAAGUCGCGUGAGGGAUUAAGGCCCUAUGGGUCGUAAACCUCUUUUGUCAGGGAGCAAGGUCGUCCACGUGUGGGCGUAUGGAGAGUACCUGAAGAAAAAGCAUCGGCUAACUCCGUGCCAGCAGCCGCGGUAAUACGGAGGAUGCGAGCGUUAUCCGGAUUUAUUGGGUUUAAAGGGUGCGCAGGCGGAAGAUCAAGUCAGGGGUAAAAUUGGGAGGCUCAACCUCUGCGAGCCGUUGAAACUGGUUUUCUUGAGUGAGUGAGAAGUAUGCGGAAUGCGUGGUGUAGCGGUGAAAUGCAUAGAUAUCACGCAGAACUCCGAUUGCGAAGGCAGCAUACCGGCGCUCAACUGACGCUCAUGCACGAAAGUGUGGGUAUCGAACAGGAUUAGAUACCCCGGUACC